rnacentral:rRNA from 1 species
AUGAUCCGGUGCUUGCGCCGGGGAUUAGUGGCGAACGGGUGAGUAACACGUGAGUAACCUGCCCUUAACUCUGGGAUAAGCCUGGGAAACUGGGUCUAAUACCGGAUAUGACUCCUCAUCGCAUGGUGGGGGGUGGAAAGCUUUAUUGUGGUUUUGGAUGGACUCGCGGCCUAUCAGCUUGUUGGUGAGGUAAUGGCUUACCAAGGCGACGACGGGUAGCCGGCCUGAGAGGGUGACCGGCCACACUGGGACUGAGACACGGCCCAGACUCCUACGGGAGGCAGCAGUGGGGAAUAUUGCACAAUGGGCGCAAGCCUGAUGCAGCGACGCCGCGUGAGGGAUGACGGCCUUCGGGUUGUAAACCUCUUUCAGUAGGGAAGAAGCGAAAGUGACGGUACCUGCAGAAGAAGCGCCGGCUAACUACGUGCCAGCAGCCGCGGUAAUACGUAGGGCGCAAGCGUUAUCCGGAAUUAUUGGGCGUAAAGAGCUCGUAGGCGGUUUGUCGCGUCUGCCGUGAAAGUCCGGGGCUCAACUCCGGAUCUGCGGUGGGUACGGGCAGACUAGAGUGAUGUAGGGGAGACUGGAAUUCCUGGUGUAGCGGUGAAAUGCGCAGAUAUCAGGAGGAACACCGAUGGCGAAGGCAGGUCUCUGGGCAUUAACUGACGCUGAGGAGCGAAAGCAUGGGGAGCGAACAGGAUUAGAUACCCUGGUAGUCCAUGCCGUAAACGUUGGGCACUAGGUGUGGGGGACAUUCCACGUUUUCCGCGCCGUAGCUAACGCAUUAAGUGCCCCGCCUGGGGAGUACGGCCGCAAGGCU